rnacentral:rRNA from 1 species
GACGAACGCUGGCGGCGUGCUUAACACAUGCAAGUCGAACGGUGAAGCGCCUUCCUUUUUGGUGGGUGGGGAUGAGUGGCGAACGGGUGAGUAACACGUGAGUAACCUGCCCCCUUCUUCUGGAUAACCGCAUGAAAGUGUGGCUAAUACGGGAUAUUCUGGGUCUGUCGCAUGAUGGGUCUGGGAAAGAUAUGGUUUCGGUGGGGGAUGGGCUCGCGUCCUAUCAGCUUGUUGGUGGGGUGAUGGCCUACCAAGGCGGUGACGGGUAGCCGGCCUGAGAGGGUGGCCGGCCACACUGGGGCUGGGCCACGGCCCAGACUCCUACGGGAGGCAGCAGUGGGGAAUAUUGCACAAUGGGAGCAAGCCUGAUGCAGCGACGCCGCGUGGGGGAUGGAGGCCUUCGGGUUGUGAACCUCUUUCGCCAGUGAAGCAGGCCUGCCUUGUUUGUGGGUGGGUUGACGGUAGCUGGAUAAGAAGCGCCGGCUAACUACGUG